rnacentral:rRNA from 1 species
UACAGAGGAGCCAAGCGUUGUCCGGAUUGACUGGGCGUAAAGCGCACGUAGGCGGUCCAGCAAGUCGGGUGUGAAAGCCCUCGGCUUAACCGAGGAAGUGCAUUCGAAACUACUGGACUUGAAUACCGGAGAGGGGUGCAGAAUUCCCGGUGUAGUGGUGGAAUGCGUAGAUAUCGGGGGGAAUACCAGUGGCGAAAGCGGCACCCUGGCGUCGUACUGACGCUCAUGUGCGAAAGCGUGGGGAGCGAACGGG